AGCGAACGCUGGCGGCAGGCUUAACACAUGAAAGUCGAACGGUCCUUCGGGAUAGCGGCGGACGGGUGAGUAACACGUGGGAACGUACCCCUAGGUUCGGAACAACACAGGGGAACUUGUGCAGAGACCGGAUAAGCCAUUCGGGGGAAAGAUUUAUCGCCUUUGUAGCGGCCCGCGUCUGAUUAGCUUGUUGGUGAGGUAAUGGCCCACCAAGGCUACGAUCAGUAGCUGGUCUGAGAGGAUGGCCAGCCACACUGGGACUGAGACACGGCCCAGACUCCUACGUGAUGCAGCAGUGGGGAAUCUUGCGCAAUGGGCGAAAGCCUGACGCAGCCAUGCCGCGUGGAUGAUGAAGGUCUUAGGAUUGUAAAAUCCUUUCACCGGGGACGAUAAUGACGGUACCCGGAGAAGAAGCCCCGGCUAACUUCGUGCCAGCCGCCGCAGUAA
rnacentral:rRNA from 1 species